AUUUUCCGUUACCAAAUUCUGGCAACUUUUCUGUCCCCCGUUUUUGGCAGCGGUUGUGCAUGAGCUGCUCGGACACUUUAUAGGUCCAGAUGUGUUAAAAAGGAAAUACACGGUUGCCGGUAUUCAUAGAAAUACAUCCAAUUACACAACCUCACCUGAAAGACACUUUACUGACAGCCCUGAUCAAGAUUUUCAGAGCAAAAGGUGGCAAGCUUACACAGGGAUUGAAGACUGUUCUGGAAUAUACAGACGUUGCUGUACCCAGGAGAGAAACAGCUCUGCGAGGACAGCCUCUCUAUUUAGGAGGAUAUGAGCCACUAUCAAGAACAUGUCUCAAAUCCAGCUCAUGAAGGGCUUGAUAAUGACCUGGAUCAGGUGUGUUGUGCAUGGAAGAUGUGGAUGUGGAGCCCAUAGACUAGAUAUCGGAACAGGACACGGAUUCAUUCGAAAAUGGAACAUGAACAUGGGGGUAAAAAAAUCAUGAGACUCCAUGUCUGUACCAGACCAGCACCAGUGAAUGUAGCUGUGGUGUUAGAAGGAUCGGUCACGAUUGAAGAGCUUGCUGACCUUGUCAGUACAUUUGCGAUUCUUGUUGGACUUCUUUACAAUCUAAACAUCCAGUACCAGGAGGGACUGAAAUAAACCUUUGGAACAGUCCAGAAGGUGCUCUUGCAUCUGGGAGACUCAUACUCAUAUAGAGUGUUGUCACUGAAGAGUGUAAUCCUGAAAUGUGAAAGACUGUAAACGUGAAAUUGUUUGUGGAUGAGGUUUCUCCCCCGGAAGGGGGUUUCUCUUUGAUAUAUCCCAAGAUAUUUAUUUUAGUAUUGUUUCAUCUGUUUGUUUGAUUUUUUUAUGCCUGGGAGACUCCAAGUUGAAAAGACAUCAAUGUGAAAUGUCAGUGGACGAAGUCGUUCUCCCCCCAAGGGAAAAGGGUUUUUCUCUUUAAUGUAAACCCCAGAUAACUCACAGUUAAAUAGGAUAUGCUGCACUGUUAUAGUGUGAAGCUUUUUGUUUGCUUGCAUGUGGGAGACUCAAACAUGCUAAUGUCACCGAAGUGCAUUGUAUGCUUGUAAUUCCUGUUACUGUUUUGAUAAGUCAUGUAGCACAUUAUGGUGUGGAGUUUUUAGUUUUUUGAUUGUGACCCAACAAUUUUUUCAUGUUUCCAUGCACUUAAUGAUAUUUUUUUAAUGGGUGUUUUGUUCAGUUUAACAGUCAUUCCACAAUGUCAGGGUAGCAAACUUGAUUUUUGUAACGCCAAUAUUGACACAUUAUUUGUGACAUUCCAACACUGGCAUUAAAAUGUCUUUUCAGUUACAAAAAAAAUGGUUUUGAUAACUAAAUGGGAUUUUUGCCACACAUAUAAAAGUUACUUAACUGA